rnacentral:rRNA from 1 species
AGUCACUGACAUUAGAUACCCGCGUAGUCCAGGGUGUAAACGCUGCAGACUUGGUGUUGGAAGUCCUUUGGGGGCACUCAGUGCCGGAGAGAAGUUGUUAAGUCUGCUACUUGGGAGUACGUCCGCAAGGAUGAAACUUAAAGGAAUUGGCGGGGGAGCACCGCAACGGGAGGAGCGUGCGGUUUAAUUGGAUUCAACACCGUAAAACUCACCAGGGAAGACUGUUACAUGAAAGCCGAGAUGAAGACUCUGCUAGAUUUUCAG